GAUCUCUGUUCUGAUUGGCUGAGAGCUGAGCCGUUGGAGAUGCAUACACGCGCACCUUUGGGCCGCAGCACAGUUAAUUAGAAUAUUAAUGCACCAACUAACCGUCAUAAAUAUUCAUUCGUGUUAGUCAGUUUUUAAAAGAACUACUUUGUUCGGCGGAAUGAUGGUGAUGGCAAUGUUAAUUUAAGUUUAAUACUUUUUGGGUUGAAAAGUCAAACGAACGGUUUCUUAAUGGGCGUAACUCUCAAGUAAACGUAGAUAUACCAAUGUAGAUAGAUAGAUAGAUAGAUAGAUAGAUAGUCACAUAGUAACCUUGAGCCCGGUUGAGUAAGAUGCUCUCCACCCGUUUCACUGUCAUCUCCAGCACUUCAGCGUUCUCCAUCUUUGAUUGUAACUGCAGCAGCGGGUGACAAAACAACAUCUCAACUGGUUGGUGUCUUGAUUUACUCAUAUUUUAGAGUGGACAUCGUCGACUUGCUACAUCCCUGUCGUCCCAUUGCCCUCUUGACCUCUACUGUGACCUCUGGCCCUGAGAGCUGCUCUACUGUGCUUUCAAGUUGAUUUGAGAGAUGUCGCAAAGAGGAACAGAGAAAUA